UACGUAUGGUUUGAAUCUUAUGGGAGAAUAAAGUGAAACAUAAUAUGGCAGAUUUUAGGUUGAAAUUAUUAAGUGUUACGAAGAAAAGAAGACGACUAUAUUUUCUGGAGCCCCGGAGGCCGCCGCGCUGGCUCGGGCAAUUCACGUGUAAUUACCAGCGUACUUCGACCUUCACAAAUCAGGCCUUGACCACCUCACCAAAGAUGCUAUCCUAAUGUUUUUUACGUGAUUUUAAAACAAGACUACAAUUGGAAAAACAAUGACAUCGUCAAGUGAUUGGUGAGUCUUACCCCGAGAUAUCGACCAGGGUCAGCUGUCAGGGCCCCCGUUCAACUCCUGCGCAUCAUAAACACGCUAUUAGGAUGACGAGCACGGAGCUACAUGGCUACAUGACCUUAUCGAGAAUGUUUUAGAGUGUUUUUGAAUAUUGUAGAUGUAAGAAAUUGUACACCGUUAUAAUUACAAAUAUAUAAAAUAAUUUCUGA